ACUGAACGCUGGCGGAAUGCUUUACACAUGCAAGUCGAACGGCAGCACGGGGGCAGCCCUGGUGGCGAGUGGCGAACGGGUGAGUAAUACAUCGGAACGUGCCCGGUCGUGGGGGAUAACGCAGCGAAAGUUACGCUAAUACCGCAUACGAUCUGAGGAUGAAAGCGGGGGACCUUCGGGCCUCGCGCGAUCGGAGCGGCCGAUGUCAGAUUAGGUAGUUGGUGGGGUAAAGGCCUACCAAGCCUACGAUCUGUAGCUGGUCUGAGAGGACGACCAGCCACACUGGGACUGAGACACGGCCCAGACUCCUACGGGAGGCAGCAGUGGGGAAUUUUGGACAAUGGGCGCAAGCCUGAUCCAGCCAUUCCGCGUGCAGGACGAAGGCCUUCGGGUUGUAAACUGCUUUUGUACGGAACGAAAAGGCUCUGGCUAAUACCUGGGGCUCAUGACGGUACCGUAAGAAUAAGCACCGGCUAACUACGUG
rnacentral:rRNA from 1 species